GGCCAGAAGGGGAGAGAUGCACAUAGUUUUCAGGGAAGGACUCAUUUGAGAAACCAAACUCAAGAUAGAUCUUGGAGGGCACAGGGGAAGGAGAGAAGAGCCUGUGCAGAUAAUGCUGCCCCCACAGCCUAGAGAGAAGGAGCACAGUCGGGGGGACACAGCCCCAUGGAGGCCUCAGAACUCAGAACUCUGGAAUUGGCCUCCAGAGGAAAUGUUGAUUCCCAAGGAAGGCAAGAAGAGAAAGAAGGCGUCAUUGCUGAACUGCACUGGUAGCCAAGAGCACAUCCUCAAUGAAGGCGUCCCUGUCCCACCGCCCUGCCUGGGAAUCCCAGACUGUGGUUGGAGCUGUGCACCCGCAGGCCAUCUCUGCACCCUCUCUGAGUCCAUAUCCCCCUCUGCUGGGCAGAUGUCAACAUGCCUGCCUCAGGGGCCUCCCAGAGGACACCAGGAGAGAUCAAGUGGCACCCAGCAUAGUGCUCCCCGCUCAGGGACGGGUCGAUGAGGUCGGCUCCCUUUCCCUCCCACAGAGGCCGCAGCUGGGAGAUGGUGGACUCCCACACGAAAUCAGCGAAGGGUGAUGCCCAGGCAGGGUGUGCCUCGUCAGCUGUAUGAUCUGUCCUGGCUGAGGCAGGGAACCUCAGAUCACCACCACCCUCAAAGCUCACUCCCCAAAGAGUCCUAAAAAAAAAGUCACUCUGUCUCCCCUGCGUGGUUUGGAAACCCAGACAUCAAAGCCCAGCACUGCCUGUGGGCUUUUCCUCCCUCCUUCCUAGGCUUAGCUCUUCAUUCACCCUUCCCUCCCCGUGUCUGCACAACAGACAG
rnacentral:lncRNA from 13 species